GUUUAUCUUGAAAUGUGUUUAUUAUUUUUGGGUUUGACUCACAGCCGCUGUCAUCAACUAACACAUCUAAACAAAAGUAUCUACACGUUUAACAUACUCAGUUAUCGUUCACACACGUUACAGUGAAAUUUUGUUUAACUAGUCACGGCAUUCUGUUUUUGGAUCUCCGUUGUCACUUGGCAUACAGACAUAAUAUAUUACGUACCGAUCUAUUUGAAUUUAAAUUCUAGAGUUUAAGUUAGUACGUAUUUAGAUUCUGAGUGGAGUGAAGAAGCUUACGGUUUU